rnacentral:rRNA from 1 species
ACGAGGAGCAGGAGCUCGGGUAAGGGAAGGGGAGAGAGCGGCGGACGAAACUAACCUAGCUUUUUGUUUUAGCAGCGAGGGUGGUUUUGGGUUAGGGGUUAGGCGGCUUUGGGAUCGCCGCUGCUUGCCCUCCGGCAUCGGCCCCCUAAGGUCGCGAGGCCGCUCUACCUAAACCUAGACACCUAGCAGUUCCAGUUCCUCCCCGUCGUGGAGCGGCUCGUGCUCGAGGUCAGGGAGACGCUUAUGCACUUCCUCUAGGAGUAGCUCCUCAGGUUGCACGUCGGCCAGUUGUCGGGGCACUGCCACACGCCGCUGUAGGUGCCGGUCAAGGUGCUGGAGUACUUCGAGAAGCGGUGGCCGCCGGUACAGGGGCUGUGGUUGAUGUAAAAGUACCCGCUGAAACACCUGGCGCCCAAAUUGUCGGAGCUCCAGAAGUGGUAAGAGGACGAAGAUUUUCGAUCCAUAGGACCGGUGUAUUGGGAAGACGCACCUUUGGUACUUUCGUCUGUCAACUGCGUCCAAAUACCAAAAAUACUGCUCACAGUCUCCUUCAUACCCUUACGCUUACGUACCGCCAUAACGUGACUACAAAAACUGAUGGAAUGAGAAAGCCGCUAGUAAUUACCGUGUCAGGAGACACAAGUACCACCGGAAAGUGGACUACAUGCGUGUCAACUAGUCUACGCCUAUUAACUAGCGUUGACACUUUAAGGAGUACUUCCUGGAAAAACACUAGACUACACCUCACUGGGUCUUCUCUAUCUCUGUACCCCACAAUCAGGGGCACCUCGUCCAACCGAAAAACCUAGUGCCCACUGUUGGCUCAAAUUGGUACAAUUGUUAGAACUCAAUCAAACAGCCCGAGUAGUUGAUCAGGUCCUUCCGGAUUUCAUGUACAAGGUUCUGUUCCCUGAACAUUGACACACCAGACGUGGAUUAAUAACAAUGUCUACACCCUUACAACGAAGGUAUGAUUCGAAGUCGCUUUGAUACCUUUCUCUACACUUCUAGAAGUCUCUGCCUGCUCUUGUUGGUUUACGCUCCCGGCUCUUCACGCCAGGGCAUAAAGGAAACUGGAGAAAACAUGUAAUAAAAAACCACUAAAAAAGUGAAGACCACAAGUAACAACAUCGAGGUCGGGUGUCACGUAAGCCUAGUAGACUACGUAAAACUAAAGUGGCGGACAGAAUUGGACGACACAUGUUAUCUAAUGACCCUCGUAUCGACGGUUAAACGGGGCAAAAACAGGAAGUAUCGGACAGGUGUGGAUUCGAGUGUUAAGACAUAAAAUCUUGGUUGAACACGUAAAGAUCUUCUAUACUACAUACUUGUGUACCUCCUCCUACUUUAUAACAACACACACGUACCGCAACAUAGAACGAGUCGUCAGUCGACUUCUUGAGACAACGGUAUCAAUUUAAGGUGCCGCUUGGUACUG